AAAAAGACAAACCCUGGGUUUCCGUGUCCAACAUUUGAUCGUCCGUCUUAUUUGAAAAAAUUAUAAAAAAAUUAAAAAGACAAGUCACGCAUAAAGUAUUAAUCAUGUUUUAUCAUCUAACAACAAUGAAAAUACUAAUUAUAAAAAAAUCAUAUAAGACGAACGGUCAAACGUUGAACACGGAAACCCAGGGUUUGUCUUUUU
rfam:Oryza sativa Japonica Group DNA, chromosome 4, cultivar: Nipponbare, complete sequence.